AUUGAACGCUGGCGGCAGGCUUAACACAUGCAAGUCGAGCGAGCGGCGGACGGGUGAGUAAUGUCUGGGAAACUGCCUGAUGGAGGGGGAUAACUGCUGGAAACGGUAGCUAAUACCGCAUACCAUCAGAUGUGCCCAGAGGGGAUUAGCUAGCAGGUGGGGUAAUGGCUCACCUAGGCGAAGAUCCCUAGCUGGUCUGAGAGGAUGAGCAGCCACACUGGAACUGAGACACGGUCCAGACUCCUACGGGAGGCAGCAGUGGGGAAUAUUGGACAAUGGACGAAAGUCUGAUGCAGCCAUGCCGCGUGUGUGAAGAAGGCCUUCGGGUUGUAAAGCACUGUCAGCGGAGAGGCGUUACUCGCCGAGGAAGCACCGGCUAACUCCGUGCCAGCAGCCGCGGUAAUUC
rnacentral:rRNA from 1 species